rnacentral:lncRNA from 1 species
UGAUUAAGACUUUGAUAUAGAAAGUUGAUUUAUUGAUUUUUAAAAUCCGCGUGACUAUAGUCUAGGCCCCGCCAAUGGGAUGAUACGUUGGCCCUGUCGACUUGUACUGAGGAACUAGUUCCGACACCGCGACCACCGGUGAUAGAAUAGUGGCGGCACAGGGGUGCAUUUUGCUCUUCGGAGCGGCUCAGUGGAGCGUGAGUUUGGCACCAGGGGGUGCGGCACAGUGGUGCGUUGGCUCAGUGGAGCGGCUCUUCGGAGAGUUGUAUUGGCACUUCGGUGUAACCAUGCCACUGGGUGAUGUGGCCGUAGUCUUGCGGUUGAGUUAUUUUGAGUCUCGGAUCGGGUUUACGGAUUGUCGUGUGAAUUUUUGGAUUCAUGAGUUUUAGCUGCUUUUUAUAUGCAUCGUGACAUGUUAUAUGA